rnacentral:rRNA from 1 species
CGGGGGUAUAUGUCUUCGGAUAUAGAGACCGGCGCACGGGUGCGUAACGCGUAUGCAAUCUACCUUUUACAGAGGGAUAGCCCAGAGAAAUUUGGAUUAAUACCUCAUAGUAUAGCUCUACCGCAUGGUAGUACUAUUAAAGUCACAACGGUAAAAGAUGAGCAUGCGUCCCAUUAGCUAGUUGGUAAGGUAACGGCUUACCAAGGCAACGAUGGGUAGGGGUCCUGAGAGGGAGAUCCCCCACACUGGUACUGAGACACGGACCAGACUCCUACGGGAGGCAGCAGUGAGGAAUAUUGGACAAUGGGCGCAAGCCUGAUCCAGCCAUGCCGCGUGCAGGAUGACGGUCCUAUGGAUUGUAAACUGCUUUUGUACGAGAAGAAACACUGCUUCGUGAAGCAGCUUGACGGUAUCGUAAGAAUAAGGAUCGGCUAACUCCGUGCCAGCAGCCGCGGUAAUACGGAGGAUCCAAGCGUUAUCCGGAAUCAUUGGGUUUAAAGGGUCCGUAGGCGGUUUAGUAAGUCAGUGGUGAAAGCCCAUCGCUCAACGGUGGAACGGCCAUUGAUACUGCUGAACUUGAAUUAUUAGGAAGUAACUAGAAUAUGUAGUGUAGCGGUGAAAUGCUUAGAGAUUACAUGGAAUACCAAUUGCGAAGGCAGGUUACUACUAAUUGAUUGACGCUGAUGGACGAAAGCGUGGGGAGCGAACAGGAUUAGAUACCCUGGUAGUCCACGCCGUAAACGAUGGAUACUAGCUGUUGGGAGCAAUCUCAGUGGCUAAGCGAAAGUGAUAAGUAUCCCACCUGGGGAGUACGUUCGCAAGAAUGAAACUCAAAGGAAUUGACGGGGGCCCGCACAAGCGGUGGAGCAUGUGGUUUAAUUCGAUGAUACGCGAGGAACCUUACCAAGGCUUAAAUGUAGAUUGACCGGUUUGGAAACAGAUCUUUCGCAAGACAAUUUACAAGGUGCUGCAUGGUUGUCGUCAGCUCGUGCCGUGAGGUGUCAGGUUAAGUCCUAUAACGAGCGCAACCCCUGUUGUUAGUUGCCAGCGAGUCAUGUCGGGAACUCUAACAAGACUGCCAGUGCAAACUGUGAGGAAGGUGGGGAUGACGUCAAAUCAUCACGGCCCUUACGCCUUGGGCUACACACGUGCUACAAUGGCCGGUACAGAGAGCAGCCACUGGGCGACCAGGAGCGAAUCUAUAAAACCGGUCACAGUUCGGAUCGGAGUCUGCAACUCGACUCCGUAAGCUGGAAUCGCUAG